rnacentral:rRNA from 1 species
CUACGGGGGAAAGCUAGGGACCUUCGGUCCUGGCGUUAAUGGAGCGGCCGAUAUCUGAUUAGCUAGUUGGUGGGGUAAAGGCCCACCAAGGCGACGAUCAGUAAUUGGUCUGAGAGGACGACCAGCCACACUGGAACUGAGACACGGUCCAGACUCCUACGGGAGGCAGCAGCGGGGAAUUUUGGACAAUGGGCGCAAGCCUGAUCCAGCCAUUCCGCGUGAGUGAAGAAGGCCUUCGGGUUGUAAAGCUCUUUCGCAAGGGAAGAAAACUUAGGCUCUAACAUAGCCUGAGGUUGACGGUACCUUGAUAAGAAGCACCGGCUAACUACGUGCCAGCAGCCGCGGUAAUACGUAGGGUGCGAGCGUUAAUCGGAAUUACUGGGCGUAAAGCGUGCGCAGGCGGUUUUGUAAGUCAGAUGUGAAAUCCCCGAGCUCAACUUGGGAACUGCGUUUGAAACUACAAGACUAGAAUAUGUCAGAGGGGGGUAGAAUUCCACGUGUAGCAGUGAAAUGCGUAGAGAUGUGGAGGAAUACCAAUGGCGAAGGCAGCCCCCUGGGAUAAUAUUGACGCUCAUGCACGAAAGCGUGGGGAGCAAACAGGAUUAGAUACCCUGGUAGUCCACGCCCUAAACGAUGU